rnacentral:lncRNA from 1 species
GGGGGGGGUAGGACCUUUAUCGGAACUCCGGGAUCGGGUGUUUUUAAGCUCGGGAUUUCGGGAUUGACCCUUUUGGGAUUCGGGAAUUCUAUUUCCGAAUUUCGGGUAGUCGGGAUUUAAUUUUUUUUUAAUUCAGAACCUCGGGAUGUCGUGUUUUUAAGCCCGGGAUUACGGGAUCUGGAUCCCUCCGCCCCCUUUCCCUCUAUUAUGGUUAAAGAAAAGAGGUCAGGGAAGUUUUGUAAUACUUGUAACUGCAAUUUGAUAUUUAGUGGAAUGAGAGGUGAAAUGUGUUCAGACUAU